rnacentral:rRNA from 1 species
AGUGAACGCUGGCGGUAGGCCUAACACAUGCAAGUCGAACGGCAGCACAGGAGAGCUUGCUCUCUGGGUGGCGAGUGGCGGACGGGUGAGGAAUACAUCGGAAUCUACUUUUUCGUGGGGGAUAACGUAGGGAAACUUACGCUAAUACCGCAUACGACCUACGGGUGAAAGCAGGGGACCUUCGGGCCUUGCGCGAUUGAAUGAGCCGAUGUCGGAUCAGCUAGUUGGCGGGGUAAAGGCCCACCAAGGCGACGAUCCGUAGCUGGUCUGAGAGGAUGAUCAGCCACACUGGUACUGAGACACGGUCCAGACUCCUACGGGAGGCAGCAGUGGGGAAUAUUGGACAAUGGGCGCAAGCCUGAUCCAGCCAUACCGCGUGGGUGAAGAAGGCCUUCGGGUUGUAAAGCCCUUUUGUUGGGAAAGAAAUCCAGCUGGCUAAUACCCGGUUGGGAUGACGGUACCCAAAGAAUAAGCACCGGCUAACUUCGUGCCAGCCGCCGCGGUAA